GCCUUGGAAACGGGGUCUAAUACCGGAUAUGAGCCUUGCCUGCAUGGGUGGGGUUGGAAAGUUUUUCGGUGGGGGAUGGGCUCGCGGCCUAUCAGCUUGUUGGUGGGGUGAUGGCCUACCAAGGCUUCGACGGGUAGCCGGCCUGAGAGGGCGACCGGCCACACUGGGACUGAGACACGGCCCAGACUCCUACGGGAGGCAGCAGUGGGGAAUAUUGCACAAUGGGCGAAAGCCUGAUGCAGCGACGCCGCGUGAGGGAUGACGGCCUUCGGGUUGUAAACCUCUUUCAGCAGGGAAGAAGCGCAAGUGACGGUACCUGCAGAAGAAGCGCCGGCUAACUACGUGCCAGCAGCCGCGGUAAUACGUAGGGCGCAAGCGUUGUCCGGAAU
rnacentral:rRNA from 1 species